rnacentral:tRNA from 1 species
ACCUGGCUGGCUCAGUGGGUAGAGCAUGCGACUCUUGAUCUCAGGGUCGUGAGUUCAAGCCCCAUGUUGAGUG